rnacentral:pre_miRNA from 1 species
AGUGUACUUCCUGGGGCCUCUGGGCAUAUAAUUCCUGUGGCCUCUGAGUGUGUACCCG